rfam:Salmo salar isolate Sally breed double haploid chromosome ssa15, whole genome shotgun sequence.
AUCCCUGUAGCUCAGUUGGUAGAGCAUGGUGUUUGCAACGCCAGGGUUGUGGGUUUGAUUCCCACGGGGGGCC